rnacentral:rRNA from 1 species
AGAGUUUGAUCCUGGCUCAGAACGAACGCUGGCGGCGUGCUUAACACAUGCAAGUCGAGUGCGCGCCUGUAGCAAUACAGGUGGCGCACGGCGCACGGGUGCGUAACACGUGGGUAAUCUGCCCUCUGAUGGGGAAUAACUCGCCGAAAGGCGAGCUAAUUCCGCAUAAUAUUCCGAGAACCUUGGUUUUUGGACUGAAAGGCGUAAGUCGUCGGAGGAGGAGCCCGCGCACGAUUAGCUAGUUGGUAGGGUAAUGGCCUACCAAGGCUUUGAUCGUUAGCUGGUCUGAGAGGAUGGCCAGCCACACUGGAACUGAGACACGGUCCAGACUCCUACGGGAGGCAGCAGUGGGGAAUCUUGCACAAUGGGCGAAAGCCUGAUGCAGCGACGCCGCGUGGGGGAUGAAGCAUUUCGGUGUGUAAACCCCUUUCGAUCCGGACGAAUGCCUCGCAAGAGGAUUGACGGUACGGAUAUAAGAAGCCCCGGCUAACUACGUGCCAGCAGCCGCGGUAAGACGUAGGGGGCCAGCGUUGUUCGGAAUUACUGGGUGUAAAGGGUUCGUAGGCGGUGCGGCAAGUUGGGAGUGAAAUCUCUGGGCUCAACCCAGAGGCUGCUUCCAAAACUGCUGUGCUUGAGUGUGAGAGAGGCUCGUGGAAUUGCAGGUGUAGCGGUGAAAUGCGUAGAUAUCUGCAGGAACACCCGUGGCGAAAGCGGCGAGCUGGAUCACUACUGACGCUGAGGAACGAAAGCUAGGGGAGCAAACAGGAUUAGAUACCCUAGUAGUCC